UGAAUAGGCCACGCCGGGGCAAUCACUAUGAGUAGUGGACUACAAGGUCGAACGAACUUAAGUAUCAUUCUCCUUCUUCGUGACAUGGAAGUUUACUCCAGUCUAAAUUUUCCAAGAAACCAAAUGAAUCACAUGGACGCAGGCGGAGCGGAGAGGAGGAGAAAAGCCUUGUCGUUCAUUAAUGAGGCGGCUGGCCUGGCCCCACGCCACGGCUGCUCCCACCACCCUCGCCCGGAGGCAGCAAUGAUAGAUCCUCCAACCUAGCAGGCAGGCAGCGAAGAAGGGAAAGAAUGACACCGCUACCCAAAGCAGCCAGCCAAGCCAUAGACAACCCCAGUCCUAGCCACUAGCUACAACGAACAAGCUCAGACCCAGCCAGCCUUGUGGCUCCGGUUGGACUGGCCGGUACCGUUGCCGCUCCUGAUGGGGAACUGCGCCGGCGUGCAGGGGAACGCCGAGAUCAACCCGACCUUCAGUGCUCCCAACACCUCAGGUACUCUACCACUCUACUGCGCUUCGCUUCGCCUCGCUUCUUGGUUGGUUGCAUCAGCUUUCCAGGCCCCGUUCAACGUCUGAGCUAGAUAACUUCGUGUGCUCUGCUCCUCAACUUCAUGUGGCGAUUUGGCCCUGUCAAUUAGUCGGAGUAGGAAUGAGCGAGUUUCUUGAUUUUUCUUCUGCUGCACUGUUUGGAACAAGAGUCCAACUUGGGCUGGUUGAUUUUGCACGAUUUAGUUUUCCGCUUUGGGCUUCAUGGAUGGCCAAGGCCACUAGUGAGCAAAAUUGCACGAUUUUACUAAGCGUGAGGCGCGUAUGGUUUUGCCCAAACAAAACAAGUAGGGCGAAUUUUGCUCCCAAAAUGGCAGUGGGAUUGAUAUCUUCAAGUUAGCGUGAGUUUUACCAGCGAAGGAACCGCAUCCGCUUGCUUUGCAAUCCAGGUAACAAUUCCAAGAGCAGCAACAGCAGCAAUGCGACUGAUACCAGCACUUUUGGCAAGAGUUCUUCGUCGUCGGUGCCACCGACUCCUCGGACCGAGAAGGAGAUCUUGCAGUCGUCCAACCUCCGCAAGUUCACCUUCAGUGAGCUGAGAAGCUCCACAAGAAACUUCCGGACUGACAGCCUGCUCGGGGAGGGGGGCUUCGGCUCCGUGUUCAAGGGGUGGAUCGACGAGCGCACGUUUACGCCGGUCAAGCCCGGCACCGGGAUGAUCGUCGCGGUGAAGAAGCUCAAGCUGGACAGUUUCCAGGGGCACAAGGAAUGGCUGGCUGAGGUCAAUUACCUGGGGCAGUUGUCACACCCCAAUCUUGUGAAGCUCAUCGGGUAUUGCUUGGAGGACGAGCAGCGGCUUCUUGUCUACGAAUUCAUGCCGAAGGGUAGCUUGGAGCACCAUCUUUUCAGGAGAGCUCCACAUUUCCAGCCCCUUUCAUGGAAUUUACGGAUGAAGGUUGCUCUUGAGGCCGCCAGGGGACUUGCUUUCCUGCAUAGUGAUGAGGCUAAAGUUAUAUACCGUGAUUUCAAGACCUCUAAUGUUCUUCUUGACUCGGAAUAUAAUGCAAAACUCUCUGAUUUUGGCUUGGCAAAAGAUGGCCCGAGUGGCGAUAAAAGUCAUGUUUCUACUAGGGUCAUGGGGACUCAAGGAUAUGCUGCCCCUGAAUAUCUCGCAACAGGCCACUUGACCACGAAGAGCGAUGUCUACACCUAUGGUGUUGUUCUUCUAGAGUUGCUGACCGGGCAACGUGCUCUGGACAAGAACCGCCCGCCUGGACAGCAUAACCUGGUGGAGUGGGCAAGACCUUACAUCAACAGCAAGAGGAGGGUCAUCCAUGUCCUGGACCCACGAUUGGGGUCGCAAUAUUCGCUCCCGGCGGCGCAGAAGGCAGCGGCGCUUGCGAUGCAAUGCCUGUCAAUGGACGCCCGGUGCAGGCCGGACAUGGAUCAGGUCGUGACCGCGCUGGAAAAGCUCCCAGAGGUGAAGAAAACAUACAAGUAGGGGAGGGUUGCUGGUUCCAUGUGUACUCCUUUACCUCUCUGGAGCAUGCAUCAUCCACUCCUUGUAAGCAACACUUCAGGGAGUAGAAACAGUGAACAGAUGCCGGACUUGAGGGGAAGACUAGCCUUUGAAUCUGUCAAGAGAAUGUAGAAUAUAUGUCGCCAUGUGUACAGCUAGCUGUUAGCCUGUUACUUUGCUGUCAGCCUGACGCCUGUUUUAUAUAUUUGCAGUACAUCGGCUUUGUAAAACAAGUUGGGAAACAGUUUUGUGUCUUGGUCUUGGAAGCAUUCUCGCUCGGUGCGUGCUAAUGCUGAGAGCCAUGUCAGAGAGACUCUCACUCUGCACGAGAAAUGAAACGAAUUAAGUUUGU
rnacentral:rRNA from 1 species